rnacentral:rRNA from 1 species
UAUGUUGGCCGGGCGACGGUUGUCCCGGUUUAAGCGUGUAGGUGUGUGUUCCAGGUAAAUCCGGUUCACUUUAACACUGAGGCGUGACGACGAGGCACUACGGUGCUGAAGCAACAAAUGCCCUGCUUCCAGGAAAAGCCUCUAAGCAUCAGGUAACAUCAAAUCGUACCCCAAACCGACACAGGUGGUCAGGUAGAGAAUACCAAGGCGCUUGAGAGAACUCGGGUGAAGGAACUAGGCAAAAUGGUGCCGUAACUUCGGGAGAAGGCACGCUGACACGUAGGUGAAGUGAUUUACUCACGGAGCUGAAGUCAGUCGAAGAUACCAGCUGGCUGCAACUGUUUAUUAAAAACACAGCACUGUGCAAACACGAAAGUGGACGUAUACGGUGUGACGCCUGCCCGGUGCCGGAAGGUUAAUUGAUGGGGUCAGCGCAAGCGAAGCUCCUGAUCGAAGCCCCGGUAAACGGCGGCCGUAACUAUAACGGUCCUAAGGUAGCGAAAUUCCUUGUCGGGUAAGUUCCGACCUGCACGAAUGGCGUAAUGAUGGCCAGGCUGUCUCCACCCGAGACUCAGUGAAAUUGAACUCGCUGUGAAGAUGCAGUGUACCCGCGGCAAGACGGAAAGACCCCGUGAACCUUUACUAUAGCUUGACACUGAACAUUGAGCCUUGAUGUGUAGGAUAGGUGGGAGGCUUUGAAGCGUGGACGCCAGUCUGCGUGGAGCCGACCUUGAAAUACCACCCUUUAAUGUUUGAUGUUCUAACGUGGACCCGUGAUCCGGGUUGCGGACAGUGUCUGGUGGGUAGUUUGACUGGGGCGGUCUCCUCCUAAAGAGUAACGGAGGAGCACGAAGGUUGGCUAAUCCUGGUCGGACAUCAGGAGGUUAGUGCAAUGGCAUAAGCCAGCUUGACUGCGAGCGUGACGGCGCGAGCAGGUGCGAAAGCAGGUCAUAGUGAUCCGGUGGUUCUGAAUGGAAGGGCCAUCGCUCAACGGAUAAAAGGUACUCCGGGGAUAACAGGCUGAUACCGCCCAAGAGUUCAUAUCGACGGCGGUGUUUGGCACCUCGAUGUCGGCUCAUCACAUCCUGGGGCUGAAGUAGGUCCCAAGGGUAUGGCUGUUCGCCAUUUAAAGUGGUACGCGAGCUGGGUUUAGAACGUCGUGAGACAGUUCGGUCCCUAUCUGCCGUGGGCGCUGGAGAACUGAGGGGGGCUGCUCCUAGUACGAGAGGACCGGAGUGGACGCAUCACUGGUGUUCGGGUUGUCAUGCCAAUGGCACUGCCCGGUAGCUAAAUGCGGAAGAGAUAAGUGCUGAAAGCAUCUAAGCACGAAACUUGCCCCGAG